CGGUCUAAACACGUUGAAAUACCGGUACCCGUACGAUUACCGAAGUUAAGCAACGACGAUCCUGAUCAGUAAGUAGAUGGGUGACAGCUUGGGAAUACCAGGUGGUG